UUGCACUCCUACUUUGCCACAAAUGCUAAAGUUGAAAUAACAGGGAGAAGAUUAGCAUGGCACUUGUGCAAAAAUAAUAUGCAAAACCACGAAGCUUUUUGUAUUUGU
rnacentral:snRNA from 1 species